GGAAGGCAGCAGUGGGGAAUAUUGCACAAUGGGCGAAAGCCUGAUGCAGCUAUGCCGCGUGUAUGAAGAAGGCCUUAGGGUUGUAAAGUACUUUCAUCGGGGAGGAAAAAACAAAACUAAUAAUUUUAUUUCUUGACGUUACCCGAAAAAGAAGCACCGGCUAACUCCGUGCCAGCAGCCGCGGUAAUACGGAGGGUGCUAGCGUUAAUCAGAAUUACUGGGCGUAAAGAGCACGUAGGUGGUUUUUUUAAGUCAGAUGUGAAAUCCCUGGGCUUAACCUAGGAACUGCAUUUUGAAACUGAAAUACUAGAGUAUCGUAGAGGGAGGUAGAAUUCUAGGUGUAGCGGUGAAAUGCGUAGAUAUCUGGAGGAAUACCUGUGGCGAAAGCGGCCUCCUAAACGAAUACUGACACUGAGGGUGCGAAAGCGUGGGGAGCAAACAGGGAUUAGAUACC
rnacentral:rRNA from 1 species